rnacentral:misc_RNA from 1 species
ACAUUUUUUUCGUUUGUUAGAAUAAUUCAAGAAUCGCUACCAAUCAUG